rnacentral:tRNA from 1 species
UCUUCAGAUGGUAGAAUAGUACAUCGGGCUUAAGACCCGAGCAAGCGGUUGACCGCUCUGAAGAA